UGAUGAGCAAUUGGUUAUUGUUAAGUUAUA
rnacentral:piRNA from 1 species